AGCUAAAAAACAGAUAUGUACCUAUUCAACAUGAGUACUUUAGUUUAUAAUAGCUGGGAUGGUAAAGAUUAGCCACAACUAUUCCAAUCUACAAUUCCCAUAGUGUUCAGCCACUAAUGGCUGGCUGUUUAUUAUGCGAGCUGUAGUCAACCACAAAAGGUUAGUGUGCAAUGUAGUGGCCACAAGCCCAGUCUAUAACUAGCAAGUUCAGCUAGUCGUAUGGCUGGCUGAAUAUUAUUUUAGAUGCACUCAACAAAUAUUGGUGCUUUUACUGUAGACUAAGUGUAGUGUCCCCACCUGUCAUACAGCCCCAUCAACAGUAAG